GCGAACGCUGGCGGCAGGCCUAACACCUGCAAGUCGCACGAACCUUUCGGGGUUAGUGGCGGACGGGUGAGUAACACGUGGGAACGUGCCUUUAGGUUCGGAAUAACUCAGGGAAACUUGUGCUAAUACCGAAUGUGCCCUUCGGGGGAAAGAUUUAUCGCCUUUAGAGCGGCCCGCGUCUGAUUAGCUAGUUGGUUGAGGUAAUGGCUCACCAAGGCGACGAUCAGUAGCUGGUCUGAGAGGAUGAUCAGCCACAUUGGGACUGAGACACGGCCCAAACUCCUACGGGAGGCAGCAGUGGGGAAUCUUGCGCAAUGGGCGAAAGCCUGACGCAGCCAUGCCGCGUGAAUGAUGAAGGUCUUAGGAUUGUAAAAUUCUUUCACCGGGGACGAUAAUGACGGUACCCGGAGAAGAAGCCCCGGCUAACUUCGUG
rnacentral:rRNA from 1 species